GGCCCUGUGGCCUAAUGGAUAAGGCGUCUGACUUCUAAUCAGAAGAUUGCAGGUUCGAGCCCUGC
rnacentral:tRNA from 1 species